AGAGUUUGAUCCUGGCUCAGGACGAACGCUGGCAGCGUGCUUAACACAUGCAAGUCGAACGAUGAACUCCAGCUUGCUGGGGGGAUUAGUGGCGAACGGGUGAGUAACACGUGAGUAACCUGCCCUUGACUCUGGGAUAAGCGCUGGAAACGGCGUCUAAUACCGGAUACGAGCUUCAGCCGCAUGGCUAGGAGUUGGAAAGAAUUUUGGUCAAGGAUGGACUCGCGGCCUAUCAGCUAGUUGGUGAGGUAAUGGCUCACCAAGGCGACGACGGGUAGCCGGCCUGAGAGGGUGACCGGCCACACUGGGACUGAGACACGGCCCAGACUCCUACGGGAGGCAGCAGUGGGGAAUAUUGCACAAUGGGCGAAAGCCUGAUGCAGUAACGCCGCGUGAGGGACGACGGCCUUCGGGUUGUAAACCUCUUUUAGUAGGGAAGAAGCGAAAGUGACGGUACCUGCAGAAAAAGCACCGGCUAACUACGUG
rnacentral:rRNA from 1 species